rnacentral:rRNA from 1 species
GUAAAGGCUCACCAAGCCGACGAUCUGUAGCUGGUCUGAGNGAGACCAGCCACACUGGGACUGAGACAGGCCCAGACUCCUACGGGAGGCAGCAGUGGGGAAUUUUGGACAAUGGGCGCAAGCCUGAUUCAGCAAUGCCGCGUGCAGGAUGAAGGCCUUCGGGUUGUAAACUGCUUUGUACGGAACGAAACGGUGAGCUCUAAUACAGUUUGCUAAUGACGGUACCGUAAGAAUAAGCACCGGCUAACUACGUG